GAGUUUGAUCUUGGCUCAGAUUGAACGCUGGCGGCAGGCCUAACACAUGCAAGUCGAGCGGUAGAGAGAAGCUUGCUUCUCUUGAGAGCGGCGGACGGGUGAGUAAUGCCUAGGAAUCUGCCUGGUAGUGGGGGAUAACGCUCGGAAACGGACGCUAAUACCGCAUACGUCCUACGGGAGAAAGCAGGGGACCUUCGGGCCUUGCGCUAUCAGAUGAGCCUAGGUCGGAUUAGCUAGUUGGUGAGGUAAUGGCUCACCAAGGCGACGAUCCGUAACUGGUCUGAGAGGAUGAUCAGUCACACUGGAACUGAGACACGGUCCAGACUCCUACGGGAGGCAGCAGUGGGGAAUAUUGGACAAUGGGCGAAAGCCUGAUCCAGCCAUGCCGCGUGUGUGAAGAAGGUCUUCGGAUUGUAAAGCACUUUAAGUU
rnacentral:rRNA from 1 species